GUGAUAACCCUUCAUCAUCAGUUCAUCACCCAGCUGUCAAGCACACCCUACCCAGCCCUCUCCACCCAGCUGCGGACCUUUCACUACCGAUGAGGACCCUCGCCACCCCGCUGCGCUCUUUCCCAGCCCUUCAUCUUCAUCACUGCGCUAUGAGAACCCUCGCACCCUCAACGCAAGCCUCCUCCUCAGAUUCACAACCUCGCACCCUCUCUUGCAACCUUCCAUCGGCACUACUCCGUCGGCGUGUCCUCCCUCAAUCGGCGUUGCCUAUCCCUAACUCGGUGCUCAACCCUUGAGGUUUCUUCGAUACUGCACUCUCCUACGCAUCUUCACACAUCCAAAAAUGUUGAGGAGACUUUUCAAGAAACAAUUAAAUAGCCACAGAGCAUGACUACUGAAAUAAAGGAAGAUGAUGCACCUUGCAGUGAAGUCAAAGAAGAAAACAACACAACUACUUCUCAUGUGGUUCCUGUUGAUACGGAAAGAAGUGAAGAUGUUUGCAAAGGAGAGAGCUCAUGCUUAGGGAUUUCAUCAUCUGGAGAUGGGUCUGCUGAAGUAGCAAAAGAUGCUUGCACUCCCAAACCAACAUUGCUAAAAAGAUUGACAACCACCACCUCCAAGAAGCAAGAGACAGCUAAAAUGAUAGGCACCAGUAAAAAACCAACUGAAAAGCCUAGGAAGGGUGUUAUCCUUGCGAAGAAAAUCAAUGAUGCUGCUGAUAGGUGUUCGAGCUGAACUAAAUUGAAUAAUUUACCAAGCUGCAACUUCAAUUGCAAUAUUGUAUUGGUACUCUCUAGUCCUUUCCUUUCAAGUUGAUAUGUCAAAAUGCAGUUAACUAUUCCAAUGCUUAUGUGCUGCAAAAAGCAAUAUAGCGUAUAGAAUCAAUCAUAUAAGGGUAGUUAUGGUAAGUUUUUUUUUCUUUUUUAAAUUAUUCUCAUGAUAAAAUUAUUGAUACAUUAUUCAACAUAGCAUAACUGAAUUGUUUGCUUUUAUAAUGUUCUUGGAUAUGAUCUAAUUGUCCUUCUAUUCAACUAGUGUAACUUAGGUUUCUAAGUCUAACCACAAGCUGGAUCUAAAUCUGAACUUUCCAUUUGUGACAAAGUCGAUGAAAGAAGAGGCAUGGUCUACUCUUGCUUGCCAUAAAUGUCCCAUAUCUUUAGUUACAUACAUGGAAUACUGCCUCAUUGAACUUUUCCAAAUCCUGAAAGAGCAAAGAGAGAAUUUCUACAUUCAAGUUGUUGCUUUUGCUAUACGUGAGAAUGCAAAGUCUUUGAACUGCAAUAUGCAGUCUCUUUGGCAUUGAACAAGCAUUACUCUUUAUGCAAAUCUCUACCACUAUCACCAUCCACAAGAUCUUGGGUUGAACCACCAUGUAGUGAAGGAAUUUGCAGACUAUGCAGAAUUUCGUUUCUAAGACAUUUAGGACAGAGUGAAGAACUGGAUAACAUUCGAUGAACCAAGAGUGGUAGCUGCUCUUGGCGCUAUGACAAUGGUUUCUUUGCCCCUAGAAGGUGCUCAAAGGAAUAUAGGAUUAGCUCACAAAAUGGAUCACAAAAUGCAUUUGGAAUGUUAAAUUGAUGGGUUGAAGUAUAUAAGAUUAGAUAAAUUCAUUCUUGGGGUUAUAUGCAUAAUAAGCCACUGCUUGUCUGCUUAUUCAGUCUUGGGGUUAUAUGCAUAAUAGGCCACUGCUUGUCUGCUUAUUCAAUAAAAUAGUGUAUUAGAAAGCUCACAUUGGAUUAAGGAACUGAACUUAUUUGUGGAAUAAUGUUUAUAGAAUAUUGAUGUGCAUCAAAAUUAUUCUCU